rnacentral:rRNA from 1 species
ACGGGAGGCAGCAGUGGGGAAUUUUGCGCAAUGGGGGAAACCCUGACGCAGCAACGCCGCGUGAGUGAUGAAGGCUUUCGGGUCGUAAAGCUCUGUCAGUGGGGAAGAAAUGGGGCUGGCUAAUAUCCAGUCUUCUUGACGGUACCCACAAAGGAAGCACCGGCUAACUCCGUGCCAGCAGCCGCGGUAAUACGGAGGGUGCAAGCGUUGUUCGGAUUUAUUGGGCGUAAAGCGCGUGUAGGCGGUCUGAUUAGUCUGAUGUGAAAGCCCUGGGCUCAACCCAGGAAGUGCAUUGGAUACUGUCAGACUUGAAUACGGGAGAGGGUAGUGGAAUUCCUAGUGUAGGAGUGAAAUCCGUAGAUAUUAGGAGGAACACCGGUGGCGAAGGCGGCUACCUGGACCGAUAUUGACGCUGAGACGCGAAAGCGUGGGUAGCAAACAGGAUUAGAUACCCUGGUAGUCCACGCCGUAAACGAUGAGUACUAGGUGUUGCGGGUAUUGACCCCUGCAGUGCCGCAGCUAACGCAUUAAGUACUCCGCCUGGGAAGUACGGUC